UACGAAGGGUGCAAGCGUUAAUCGGAAUUACUGGGCGUAAAGGGUGCGUAGGCGGUUGUUUAAGUCUGUCGUGAAAUCCCCGGGCUCAACCUGGGAAUGGCGAUGGAUACUGGGCAGCUAGAGUGUGUCAGAGGAUGGUGGAAUUCCCGGUGUAGCGGUGAAAUGCGUAGAGAUCGGGAGGAACAUCAGUGGCGAAGGCGGCCAUCUGGGACAACACUGACGCUGAGGUGCGAAAGCGUGGGGAGCAAACAGG
rnacentral:rRNA from 1 species